rnacentral:rRNA from 1 species
CAGUCGCCGCGGGAAUACGUAGGUCCCGAGCGUUGUCCGGAUUUAUUGGGCGUAAAGCGAGCGCAGGCGGUUAGAUAAGUCUGAAGUUAAAGGCUGUGGCUUAACCAUAGUACGCUUUGGAAACUGUUUAACUUGAGUGCAAGAGGGGAGAGUGGAAUUCCAUGUGUAGCGGUGAAAUGCGUAGAUAUAUGGAGGAACACCGGUGGCGAAAGCGGCUCUCUGGCUUGUAACUGACGCUGAGGCUCGAAAGCGUGGGGAGCAAACAGGAUUAGAUACCCGGGUAGUCCCUGUCUCUUAUACA